UAGUUUAGGACUAGAGGGUCGUAGAUA
rnacentral:sRNA from 1 species